rnacentral:tRNA from 1 species
GGGUGUAUAGCUCAGUGGUAGAGCACAUGCUUAACAUGCACGAGGUCCUAGGUUCAAACCCCAGUACCUCCA